AGAAGUAAUCUAACUCCGAAUUUCCCUAUGUACUAGUCAAAAGUGAUAAAAAAGCAAGUUUUUUGCUAUUAGGCCGAGCAAAUUUUGGGAGUAGAGUAGAGUAUAUCGAAUUCAAAGGUCUGACAGCUCUAAUUUUGUGCUUUAUAAGGUUUUCGGUUGGUUAAAUAACGUAAGUUUUCCAGUUAGUGUGAAUGAGCUAAAUUUACACUAUUUCAAAUUAUAAUAAUAAAAAUUGGUGCUCUGUCAUUUUUCCUAAAUCUGGACACCUCAAUCUUGGCAGUGUAGUUAGUAGAACUGAAGAUAUAAGCUUUUUUAAAUUACCAUAUUGGGAUUUUCAAUUCAAAUAAACAAACAAAAAUUAAAAAACAAAAGUCUCUAAAACAUAAUCGCUAAACGGCUUAUAUCUUGAGUUCUAUUGGUCACAUCCUCAAGGUUGGAGUGUUCAGAUUUAGGAAAAAUGACAGAGCAUCAGUUUUUUAUUUAUAAUUUGCAAUGGUUAAAAUUUAGAUCAUUCACAUUAACUGGAAAACUUACGUUUUUUAACCCCUCGAAAACAGUAUAAAGCAUAAAAUUAGAGUUGUCAGACCUUUGAAUUCGAUAUUAAGACGCGUAUGGCUGCACAACUGCGUACUUAUAUUUUGGCAAUAUCUCUACUCCCAAAAUUUGCUCGGCCUAAUAGCAAAAAACUUGCUUUUUUCUCACUUUUGACUAGUAAAUAUAGCCCAGUCAUUUUAGUCAUUUUUAAGCCCAAUCUGCGGAAAAAUUCCUACUGGGCUGAAUUUUGGUAUACAGCUUAAUGACGGCUUUGUUAUGAAGAUGUGAAAAAUCGACAUUGAUAUCGUGUCCGCGUUAAGAGUUAUAGGGGUCAAAAGGUCACAAAAACUGGUUUUUCACGAUUUUCAGCAAAACGGUAAGUCUUAUCAAAAAAUUUUCAAAGCAAGAAUUGUAGACCAGAUUAUUAUAUAUAAAAAGUGUCAUGACACUUUUUUUCCUAAGACCCACCGUUUCUUAGGUAUAACGAUUCAAAAAGUUGAAGUUUAGUUGUAAUCGUCAUAAUCCUAUUCCUGAAAAAAAAAACUCCUAACUGAAAAGUUCCUGAAAUUUCAUUAUUUUUUUAGCUUGAAUUUCGUUCCUCAACUGUUAAGAAUAUGGGGAAACCAAAAAAAAAUGGAAAUUUUCGCCAUUUUUCCGAUUGGGGCCCUUCUCCCGAAACCAUUUCCCUGGGAAUUUUGUUUAGAAUAUGUCUGAAAAUAUACAGGGUGUGCAAUAGAGAAUGGACAACCCUAAAACGGCUUAUAGCUACACUUAUGAUUGUUCUAAAAACAGAUAGAAAAAAGUUCUAUCGCAAUCAGUUCAUAAAAUAUGGACUUUUUUUCGUUCAGUGUAUUUUAAAUUUUAUCAUCUUAUGUUUUCGUUCACUACAACCACGAAUGAAUGAAUUUUAUUUAUUUCUUUUUUUUAUAAUUUUCUACAAUAAUUGGAUGAGUACAUAAACACUUUAAAAAUUUCAUAGCUAUUGCACAUUUUCGUAAAAAAAAUUUUGAAAUCUGUUUUUUGAUGCAAAAUGUAAAAAAAGUAUUUUAUGAAAAAUUUUAAACACCUGUGAUAUAAAAUAAAUCUAUAGAAACCUAGGUGUCCAUCUUUCUUAAAAAUAUUCUCCUUAUACCAGAAUAUUUUUAAGAAAGUUGGCCACCUAGGUUUCUAUAGAUUUUUUAGAUAAUUUUAUUGUUAAUAAGCCUAACCUUUGUCAUUUUUUGUUAAAAUGAAUAACAAUGGAGCUAUUCAAUAAAAAAGAUACCAAUCUCUUUUCCAAAAUGGCGGCUGUUCCCAACCUCCAAUCAACCCAACAAAUUGACUUUUAUGAUGAGGACAAACUCCCGAACACAUUCCAUGAAAAAAAUUUUGUCCCACGAAAAAUGCGAUUUCAUGCCCAUAUUUUGACUAAUUUCCCUGAGCUAUAGGUAUUUUGUUAAUUUUUUUUAAAUAAAUGAAAACUGACUUUAAAAACUUUGUAUUUUUGUCGUUAAUCGGCCUUUUGAGAGUUUUCUGUGGAAAAUGUUUCCCCAUAUUAUUUUUGUUUUUGAAAUAUAAUUUUUCGUUUAAUUUUUUGCCACAAAAUUCAAGUGUUAAGUAGCUAUCGAUUAAAUCGCAUUUUACCUCAAGCAAAGUUAAUAAAAAAAAAUUAGUUUUAUGAAUGUGGAUAACCUUUCGCUCUUAAUAAGGAAAAACUGAAAUUUAAAUUUUCCGGGUGUAAACUUGUUCACAAGAAACUCCAGGUACGAAUGUGAAAAAAAAAAAAUAUUUAAAAAAAUCGGUUAGACAUCAAAUGGGUUUCUAAAAUAUUAAUAAGUACCUAUAUUAAAAAAAAUUGAAAGCUGAUUAAGAAAUAAUAUCAACAAGAGUUAUUCAGUUGACGACCAGCCAUUUCUCUUAGGCGCCUUUUAAGUAUGGAAGUAGUAUCGACACUUAAACAAGUCAGUUAAUUUCAAGAAUCUCUUUUUAAACGCAACAUCCAGAGUUCCAAUUUGACGUCGGGGUUGUCUGGCUUUCUCAAGAUUUUGAAUAGUACGUCUCCUUGCAAUACGAUCGGGACCACUACCGGAGUCAUUGUCGUAGUCCCCUCCAUCUAUACCUUGCAAACGUUAGCAUCCUGUGAUAAAUCUUCAGAUUUCUUCUUGCACCAAUUAAGCUCUGUAGAAGCUAAGAUAUGCGAUAUGGUCCCAAAUCGAUGGAACAACAUAGCAGAGAAUUGUAUCACC